rnacentral:SRP_RNA from 1 species
UAUGGGACUAGUCCGGGUGGUUUGGCGUCACCUGUAAUCUGAGAUUGUCAAUAUGCAGAGGACGAAGUUUGAGGACGGCUAUGGCAGUCCUUUCAAAGCAGCAGAAUUUCCGACGUUGAUACCUCGUCCUUCGAGGUCAGCGGAUAAAUAAAGCUUCUCCGGAGGGAGAAUCUUGUUUAUUGUCGCGAGCACCGGUUCAGGCCCGGAAGGGAGCAGACUUAUCGCGAACGCAUGGCGCCCGCAGGGUAGCGGGGCGGAGUCUGGUUCUAUUGUGGAGACUGGAUAUGUGUUUCCUACCGAAAACGUGUCCCGAU